UACGUAGGGCGCAAGCGUUGUCCGGAUUUAUUGGGCGUAAAGAGCUCGUAGGUGGUUUGUCGCGUUGUUCGUGAAAACUCACAACUCAAUUGUGGGCGUGCGGGCGAUACGGGCAGACUGGAGUACUGCAGGGGAGACUGGAAUUCCUGGUGUAGCGGUGGAAUGCGCAGAUAUCAGGAGGAACACCGGUGGCGAAGGCGGGUCUCUGGGCAGUAACUGACGCUGAGGAGCGAAAGCGUGGGGAGCGAACAGG
rnacentral:rRNA from 1 species